rnacentral:rRNA from 1 species
AGCCUUAAUACGGCGAGUGAAGCGGCAAAAGCUCAAAUUUGAAAUCUGGUAACUUCGGUGCCCGAGUUGUAAUUUGGAGAGGGCAACUUUGGGGCCGUUCCUUGUCUAUGUUCCUUGGAACAGGACGUCAUAGAGGGUGAGAAUCCCGUGUGGCGAGGAGUGCGGUUCUUUGUAAAGUGCCUUCGAAGAGUCGAGUUGUUUGGGAAUGCAGCUCUAAGUGGGUGGUAAAUUCCAUCUAAAGCUAAAUAUUGGCGAGAGACCGAUAGCGAACAAGUACAGUGAUGGAAAGAUGAAAAGAACUUUGAAAAGAGAGUGAAAAAGUACGUGAAAUUGUUGAAAGGGAAGGGCAUUUGAUCAGACAUGGUGUUUUGUGCCCUCUGCUCCUUGUGGGUAGGGGAAUCUCGCAUUUCACUGGGCCAGCAUCAGUUUUGGUGGCAGGAUAAAUCCAUAGGGAUGUAGCUUGCCUCGGUAAGUAUUAUAGCCUGUGGGAAUACUGCCAGCUGGGACUGAGGACUGCGACGUAAGU